GGCUUUAGAGAACUUCUGCGGAAUCGACAGAAGAUUUGACCCAAAAAGGUGGUGCAGUCGCUUCCCCGAGCACCGGGAGCACAUUGCUCCAUAGAACUUCCACCAAUCGCUGCGUCCUGGGCUGCACUGCUGGAGCGAGACGGUCCCCACGACGUAUCACGUAAUUCAGACGUACACUUCCAUAAAAAGUGUACGUGACUUUGUGGGGAAGUGACAGAUAGUGACGAAGAAGAACUCUGCCCGGAAGGAAUCAUUUAGUGAUCGCUCCUGAAAUCGUUCUCUCGUCUUUGUCACAGAGGAGAGAGGAUGUCAUAAGGUGGAGCUUGGCAUGGUCUCCAAAACAAAGAAACGGGGCCUUUCCCUGGUAUACUUAUGGCUUCCAAACAGGCACCCUCCGGAGACAGGUGGCCCAUAAAUUGAUCUUUUUAGAUGGAAAUGAUGUGGCACUUCAUUUUUCCCCGGGACCAAAGCGGUAACCAGAAAACAGGUCAUUGUGUAUCGUGACAAUAAACUGUAAUUAUUUAUGCACAUGGAGGAUGAGAGGGUGACUUGCCUUCAUCAAUCACCCUUCCUUCAUGAGUCAUUGAAUUCCUGCCAACCCGUGAAAAAUGAGCUCCCCCAUCUCCUACGAAGAGUUGGAGAAAGGAAGAGAGAACCCGGGAGGGAGGGACCUGGAGGCAAGGUCUGAAUUCAGAAUUCACAUUGUCAGAGGCAAGGUUUAGGAAGAAUGUUCCUCGGCAGCCGACACUCAGUCCAUGCUUUAUAAUUUGGAAAACCACAGCCGGGCACCUCUGUCCUCCCCUCUCCCGCGCAGACUUGUUGUUUCGAGUCUGACUACUCUUUUUGGAGACGACUGGUUACAUGAGAGAGAACCACCUUCAAAACUCACCUCCACAGCACAUACCUCCAGUUAUCUUUCACACGGUCCCAGAAAACUUGUGGGAUUUUUUUUUUUCCCAUUUUGCCGACCUUGUUUAUUUCUCCCGACUUUACCAUAAACAUUUGAAGAUGCUUUUUCUAUUAAAAGAAUAAAACCAUUCAAACAAAAUCAGAAUCUAAGCUGUGACGUGCAGCCGUCAACACGAAGGAUGUCUGUGAGUUUAGUAGGGGAGAAGAAAGGUUGAACGUUUUUCUUAAAAUGUGGGCUAAUAAAUUGAUUAAAACUUUGCAUACUAUAGGCAGCCUCCGUCUCUUCUCAGAGAAUCAAAAACAUGAAGGAAUUUGCAGGAGAGAAACGCAUGAUGCUACCAUAAAGUCAUCUCCCUGCAUACGGCAUCCAUAAACUCUCCUAGUGGCACGAUCACUUCUGAUUUAUAGAAGAGCCACAGCAUAAUAAAAUGCAAAGCAAAAAAUGAGGUUUCUCUCACUCUAGAAGCACCAGUGAAUUCAUUAUGAGUAGAUUUCUUUCUUUUCUUUUUUUUUUUUUUCUCUAAGGAGGGAAAACAAUAAAUUCUGUGACGCCGAGACCUUGUUCAAUUAGAAAAGGUCAUUUUUCUGCCUUGGUACAAUAGGAGCGCCAUCUCUCAGAUUCCGACCUGACAUUCAUCAUCAUUUAGGGGAAGUGCUCAGCUGAGAAUCUCCCUCUGGCUUCAUAUCACAACCCUGAUGUACCCCGCGGUGAAAUAUUGGAGCAGUAAUCCAAAAUGGCGCUCAACCUGGGGCCAAUACGCUGCAUCCGUUCCCACUGAGAGAAACGACUACCUAACAGGAAGCAGAAGAGUGUUUCUGGGUCAGACCCCACCGCCUGGCUGGUAGCAGGUCCCGCUGCCCUGGGGCAGUCAGGCUGAGGGUGUCCUCUCCCCUCACACCCUCACUCCCUUCCCAUCCCAGCAAACUCUAAGGAGAGACACCAAGCUCCCAGAAAUCCAAGGGACAGGAAGCCCAGGGGACUGCCUGGGUGCAGGAAAUGCCUCUGGUGCAUGCUGGGAGUUGUAGUUUUUCUUGUCUUUCAUGAAAUGCUAGGGGGUGGCAGCAGACUCCAUCACACCAGGCCAGAGGAGUGGGCAGAGAUGCUCAGAGAUGCUGAGACGGAGUGAGAGCCCUACACAGGAGUUCACUCCCCAAGGUUAUAGCUCCGUCCUUUUUUGAGGCUGCACGUGAGACACUCAGCAUGUGCAGACUCGAGGACAUUAAUGUAGGUGUUAAUAGCAUGUGGAUCCAGGGAUAGGGCUACACCUGAACAUGCCUACAGCCGUGGAUAGCAAGCACCACCUCAGGUGGACUCAUUCUUCUAGAUGAGGAAGCAGGGAAAUGCAGAAUGUAUGAUGAAAUACAGCAGGAAACGGGGGGGGGGGAUCUUACCCUGGAGAUUCAGAUGCUGUAGCUUUCAGAAAAUAAUCCAUCACCAAAAUGUGGGGACAUUGAAAACUGCUUGGUGUACUGCAUGCAGGAAUUUACGACCACAGGAGGCUGCUGUACUGAAUAGAAGCGAAACAAAACUCAGACGGAAUUUAGUGAAAAGUGAGGUUUGUGGGCUUAGGGGUGACCGUAAGAAAUUCAAAAUUGGAAUGGAAGAAUGAAGGUCUUCAGGUAUAAUCCCCAAUGUGGAAGGUGAGGUUGAGAUGCUCUUCCAGUCUCAGAAGGAAAGGACAGAGCCCCUGUGGCAAUUCUGUGUGUGCCUGGUCAUCCGCAGACCCCAAGGACAAGGGCACAACACGUUGGACAGAAGCAAUCCUGGAGAAGGAUCGGGAGUGAACCUGCUAAAGCUGAGACCCCACGAGCCCUGUGACACCCCGUGUGCUGCGGGGACGAGGUCCCCACUGCUCCAGCUCCUGAAGAGCAAGACAGAGUUUUCACACGGGCUUCUGUGUUCCUUAGCAUCUAAAUAGCAUCAUAUUGAGAAUAAUCCACGUCAAUCCUGGGAGUCUGAGAGGACACUUAUCCUUAGGCAACGCCUGAAUCUCCAAAAACACCCGUCUAUGACAUCACAGAGGGUGCUGAGCCUCACCUGGAUGUGUUCCCCCAGGAACGUCUCUAAAGGAGGAAACCUCACGUUCCGGGCCGUGCUUUGCCACCGAGGUAACCCCAUGCCGACCAUCGCUGAACACCUGUCCUCGCCCCAACUUCCCCUCCAGGACAAAAACCUGCUGUGGAGUCAGCCGUGCAGGGAGACUCAGCAUCGAGGAUGCCCAGCCAGUGAGCAGAGACUCAGCAUCGAGGACGCCCAGCCAGUGAGCAGCUGCCCAAAAACACACCACAGACGCCACCUUGGCCCAGGUUGACUGGUCAUCUCUCUGCUUGAUCUUUGCCUGAUUCUUGCUGCAUUCAUCAAUUUUCAGGCAAUCACACGUUUUUAAAAGGCCUUCCCAGGGUUUUAACUCUCAAUGGCUUCGUUUCCCCUUUCCGGGGACAAGUGUUCUCACUACUCAGAGAACAGGGUCUGUGGCUGGGGGGGCGUUAAGAGUAGCUGUUUUAGGCUGGGUCUCCCUAAGGCUGGCUUCCGCUGGCGACGCGAAACGCGUGGUGGACCACCCUCUUCUGACAGCUGUGUUAUCCUAGCUAACUUUUGAAGAAAAACUCCGGGGCUAACGUGAUCCUUAUUCUAAGGAAUGGUUACUUAAAGAGAAGGGGUUGAAU